rnacentral:rRNA from 1 species
AGCGAACGCUGGCGGCAGGCCUAACACAUGCAAGUCGAACGGAUCCUUCGGGAUUAGUGGCGGACGGGUGAGUAACACGUGGGAACGUGCCCUUUGGUUCGGAACAACUCAGGGAAACUUGAGCUAAUACCGGAUGUGCCCUUCGGGGGAAAGAUUUAUCGCCAUUGGAGCGGCCCGCGUCUGAUUGGCUAGUUGGUGAGGUAAGGGCUCACCAAGGCGACGAUCAGUAGCUGGUCUGAGAGGAUGAUCAGCCACAUUGGGACUGAGACACGGCCCAAACUCCUACGGGAGGCAGCAGUGGGGAAUCUUGCGCAAUGGGCGAAAGCCUGACGCAGCCAUGCCGCGUGAAUGAUGAAGGUCUUAGGAUUGUAAAAUUCUUUCACCGGGGACGAUAAUGACGGUACCCGGAGAAGAGGCCCCGGCUAACUUCGUGCCAGCCGCCGCGGUAAGAC